rnacentral:lncRNA from 1 species
CCGAACUUGCCAUGAGGCUGAGGACCUAGAGGUGGCCGGAGGUGGGCAGGACUGAAAAAUGCAUCCGGAGCUGUCUUCCUGAACGCUCAACCCAAGUGCUUUCUGAUGCGUGAUCACUGGUGCCCAAGUUGUCACCAGAUGGGAUGUCCCCUUGCUCCAUCAAAACUGCCAAGACCUUGUUCGGCCUGGCUUUAUGGGCCGGGAGCCUGCGCCGCCGCCCCUCGCUCUGGGCCCUCCUGUCCCUGUCUUAAAAUUCUUAAUCCUUUUUGAACGAGGGGCCCUACGCUUUCAUUUUGCAUUGGUCCCUGAGCUGUGUCCUAGUUUGGCUGCUGGUUAACAGCAGCGUAAAGUUAAAAAAAAAAACCAACCACCAUGAGUUGACGUUUCUUUUGUUCUUAUGUUUUCUUUUUAAAAUUGUGAUGUUCUUUUUCUUUUUCUUUUUUUUUUUUUCCCUUCUCUUUUGGCCACCCCGUGGCAAAUGGAGUUCCCAGGCUGGAUCCUUAACCCGCUGUGCCCGGCUGGGGACGGAACCCGUGCUCCAGCGCUCCAGAGAUGCUGCCAAUUCCAUUGCACCACAGCAGGUAUCUCUCUUUUUAUAUUUCAUUUAUGAAAUUCUAUUUACAGAAGUAACUUCAGAUUCUGUCUAAACAAGAUAAGAUACUUAAUUGAAGAUCAUUGUGUUUGGGAAAAAUGUUCACCUUGGAGAGGCAGGAAGUUGUUAUGGAAAUAGCGCAGCUGCGAGAGCUGUCGAGUCACCCACGUUCAGCCCGCAGCUCUGCCGGGCGGGCGCUGUGUACCAGCCGACUCGGGGCCUCGGCUCCUGGGCAGGGGGGCAGAUGCGUCCACCUGUAGGGUGCCCUGAGGAGCCAGGACGGUGGGAGAGUUGGCCACAACACCUGGCAUAUACCAGAUAUGCAGUAAAAAUACCCUUGAUUGUUACAUUGUCUCAUUUGGCAUGAAGGCUCAGGUGCAGUCUGACCACUUUUAAUGAGCGUAUUUUGUCCCCUCUCCUUAUCAAACACCACACUGUUGUAGAAAGUUUGGCGACACAGAUCUAUAGAUAUAGCUAUAUAUCAAGAGAGAGAAAAAAAGCAAGCCUGGGUCUUUUAGUCCUUUAACUCCAAAGCCACCUUUGGCCAGUCACAUUACAGUUUAUUUUUUAAUUUUUAUGUAUUUAUUUAUUUUUGUCUUUUUCCAGGGCCUCACCCUUGGCAUAUGGAGAUUCCCAGGCUAGGGGUCUAAUCGGAGCUGUAGCUGCCGACCUACGCCGCAGCCACAGCAAUGCGGGAUCUGAGAUGCGUCUGCAACCUACACCAUAGCUCACGGCAACGCCAGAUCCUUAACCCACUGAUUGCGGCCAGGGAUUGAACCCGCAACUUUAUGGCUCCUAGUCGGAUUUGUUAACCCCUGAGCCACAACGGGAACUCCCAGUUUAUUUCUUUAUAUAAAUAGACAUACAGAUACAUCUUGUUUCACAAACUUUGUUCUUUUACCCCAUCGACUUACUUUUCAAUGGGAACCCUGGUGGGUGCCCACCGGAGAAUCUGAGCAAGACUAAUGACACCCACAUCUGGAACGAACCCCGACUGACCUCCCUGCAGCCGCAGUUUCACACACAGGUUUAAGCUCAAAGUCCUUACGGCCACCUGUUCCCGAGGACCAUAAAUGAUGACAUUAAAAUUUUUUUAAUUUAAUUUUUAAAAUUAAAAUUUUUUUCAUUUGUACAUUUUUGUGUAUGUGGCAGUGAUAAACACUCUACAUCACAAAAUGUCCUUUACCUGCACCUGCCUCUUCUUUCCCAUUUGCGACUUGGUUAAAGAAAAUAGUUUUCAACA